CUGGCUCAGGAUUAACGCUGGCGGCGUGCCUAAUACAUGCAAAGUCGAAUGGUAGUAGCAAUACAAACCAUGGCGAACGGGUGAGUAACACGUAGGUAACCUGUCUUUAAGACGAGGAUAACCGUUGGAAACGACGGAUAAUACUGGAUAGGACAUCACAAAGGGCAUCCUUAGAUGUUUAAAGAUUAUUAUGUCACUUAGAGAGGGGCCUGCGGCGCAUUAGCUAGUUGGUGAGGUAAGAGCCCACCAAGGCGAUGAUGCGUAGCCGGACUGAGAGGUUGAACGGCCACAAUGGAACUGAGAACGGUCCAUACUCCUACGGGAGGCAGCAGUAGGGUAAUUUUCGGCAAUGGGCGCAAGCCCUGACCGAGCAACGCCGCGUGAACGAAGAAGUUAUUCGUAAUGUAAAGUUUCUUUUAUCUGGGAAAGAAAAAACAAAUUGACGGUACCAGAUGAAUAAGCUCCGGCUAACUACGUGCCAGCCGCCGC
rnacentral:rRNA from 1 species